UAAAGCAGCUAGCUCUCUGCAACUCUCACAUGGUCGCCCACUGACACCAAGCAGGGCUGCGCCUGGUCAGUACAUGGAUGGGAGAUCACAUUGGAAAGCUAGGUUGCUGCCGGAA
rnacentral:rRNA from 1 species